AUGGAGGGCAAGCGCACCGACCAGGCAAAGCUCAGCACGAUGCACCCAAAGGUUAUCUGCUGCAAGCUCUACAUCUCUGAAAGCCAAAAUGGGGCUGUUGUCGAUUCCAUCAGCCGCAUAGGCCAGAAAGACCCUGAGGUGGUUUUGCUCAGCAAGUUCGAGGACGAGUACUACAACCGUGUCCGCUACACGCUCGUCUCCUACAUCACCAGCGAAAGCUCAACCGGUGAAGCUGUAUUUAGCCCAAUCAGGAAGGUGUUGCUGGCGAUGAUCGAGGCUGCAUUUUCAGCCAUAAAUCUCGAAGUGCACAGUGGAACUCAUCCAAGGAUUGGUGUCGUCGAUGACAUGUCGUUCCAUCCCCUGAGUCAAGCAGCCACCAUGGAGGAUGCUGCACAGCUGGCUAAGCUGGUGGCCUCUGACAUUGGAAAUGGCUUGCAAGUUCCGGUGUUCCUCUACGCGGCAGCACACCCCACCAGCAAGAGCGUCAGUGCAAUACGGCGUGAGCUCGGCUACUACCGACCAAAUCACAAGGGUGUCCAAUGGGCAGGCCAGGUGCUCCCUGAUACUCUACCAGUGAAGCCGGAUGUGGGCCCAGCUCAGGUUUCUCGUGAGAGAGGAGCCACCAUGGUCGGAGCUAAACCUUUCGUCGAGAGCUACAAUGUGCCAAUAUUCUGCAAGGAUCUCCCGACCGUGAGAAGGAUCACCCAAAGGGUGACCGGACGGAGCGGAGGGUUCCCGACGGUGCAGGCGCUUGCUCUCUUCCAUGGAGACAAUUGCAUGGAGAUCGCGUGCCUGCUGGACCCAGAUCAUGUCGGAGCCGAUCAGGUUCAGUGGCUGGUGGAGCAGAUUGCAGAAGAGCAAGGGCUUGAGGUCGACAAGGGUUACUUCACCGACCUGUCCAAGGACAUGAUGCUGGAAAGGUACUUCGAGAUUGUUUCUGCAGCAGAUUGA
rnacentral:rRNA from 1 species